UGUCAGCACCUUACUCCCCUCUCCUUCUUCCUUCAAUUCCUCAUCUCUCUCUUCUCAUUUCCUUUCUCCCUAUACACCGCCCAAAUCAUGCCUUGGCAUGGCUUGAAGCUGCCAUGGCUCAGACCACUCUUGAACUCGCACUGGGCAAGAGCUAGCAUGUACACAGGGCUAGCUCUAGAUGGGGGUAGGCGGGGUGGUCGCCUCAGGCCCCAAAAAUCUAGAGGCCUCCUCUCAUAUAUGUAUACAUGUAUGAGCUUUGGCUUUUGACCGGUCUAAAAGAAAUAGCUUUGCUGCUUUGAUUUCUUCAGUUCCUCUCAUGCAGAUGAUGCAGUCUUGAUUCGCCUUCUUCGGGCCUCAGGUGCUGCGUAGUGGAUCACGUCCUCAUCGGUCGGUACGGGCCGUCCGAUCUCGUGAACCACACAUGCUCUUCAGAGACGGCGUCUGGGUGGGUGCCUCCCCCGGAGGGAUCAUUCACACCGAGGCUCCUAUGUUUGUCUCAUCGCUCAGGGAUACAAGGCCAAAGGGGGGAAACACAACGCAAAGAAUGACGGAAUGACUUUCUGUACUAAUUAUCUGCCACCAGGCACCAUGCUCUAUGGAUAAUAUGUUUGCCACUAUAUACGGAAAAUGAUGACAAUAAUGGCCGAUGAACCUCCUGAGGUUUGUCAUUCUACAAAAUGUGAUAGUAGUUUCACCUUCUCAUCUUUACAUUUAUUGUUACAUGUUUUUUUCUCUUUUACACAACAUUACCUCGUUUCUCAAA